rnacentral:lncRNA from 1 species
UUUAGAUGAGAUCCUAAGUUAUUACAAAUAGAAUUUUCUUAAGAAAGAUGACUGAUGCUAAUAUUAAUCCAUGCUUCAUUAUUAAAGAUCUUUUGGGCUUCUUCAUGUAACUUAUCUUUUGAGGACCCUAUAUCCUAUAUAAUUUUCCAUACUUUGUACAGUAAAUCCGGACAAUCUUGGUGUUUAUGAAUCGUUUGUGGGUUACUAGUGAAAUGUUUGACUUUGUUAAUGCAGUAAGCAUAAGCAAGACAAUAAGGAAAUCUAAUUGACACAAAUGAGUUAUGCAAUGGGCAGAUCGCACGAGAAAUUUUUCUGGG